rnacentral:lncRNA from 10 species
CUCUACUCUGCCAACAUUGCUCUCACCAGGGUACCCAGUGACCUCCAAGUUGCCCACUGUGGGAGCACUCCUGAGUCCUCAUCUUACUGGAACGCUCCUCACGACCAUCAGGGAAUCUUCUGCUGCCCAUGAAAGGAAGCCCAACUCGAAUUGCUGCAAGCAGAACGGACUCAAGUCUUCCCUACUUUGGUGAAUGUUUGAAGCCUAGAGAAACAUAUUCCAUCAAGAAAGAAUAAUAA